UACGUAGGGCGCAAGCGUUAUCCGGAAUUAUUGGGCGUAAAGAGCUCGUAGGCGGUUUGUCGCGUCUGCCGUGAAAGUCCGGGGCUCAACUCCGGAUCUGCGGUGGGUACGGGCAGACUAGAGUGAUGUAGGGGAGACUGGAAUUCCUGGUGUAGCGGUGAAAUGCGUAGAUAUCGGAAGGAACACCGGUGGCGAAAGCGGCGUGCUGGAUCCCUUCUGACGCUGAGGCGCGAAAGCCAGGGGAGCGAACGGG
rnacentral:rRNA from 1 species